rnacentral:misc_RNA from 1 species
UGCAUUUCAACCAGGCUG